ensembl:lncRNA
GGACAUUCUUUGGAAAAAUGGCUCUGCAGUAGAUGCUGCCAUUGCUGCGCUGCUGUGCACCUCCAUCAUGCACCCACAGUGCAUGGGGAUUGGAGGCGGGGUCAUAUUCACUGUGAUGGACAGCUCCGGUAAAGUGAAAAUCAUCACCUCCAGAGAGACUGUCCCCAGCAACGUGACCUCUGACCUGCUUAAGUCGUGUCCUAACACCACAGAGUGGACCGUGGAGUGGCCGCACGGUUGGUCUUUUUGUUGGAGUGUGAAAUUGUGCGAGUGAGACCAGUAAAUUCACCUGCAGCGAGCCAGGAUUCAGGAUCCCAGCUGCGAUGGAGGAAGAUCAUGCCCCCCUAUUGAUGAGAUGGGGGUUGGAUGCCUCACAGCCCUCCGCCUCUGGCAGUGGCCCUUUCUACUAAGGAGGCAAGAGUUCUGCAUGUCCUGGUGACCCUCCACCUGUUUCACAGGUCGUUGGACUGUGGCAGGAAGCCGGAGUACAAGGAAAGAACCCACGCAAACACAGGAAGAACAUGC